rnacentral:lncRNA from 1 species
GUGCUUAAUUGUCAAUAUUAAUUAUUAAAUUUUUUUUCAAUAUGUUAGAUGAGAUUUUAUUAGAUUAAACUUUCCAGAGAAUCAAAUUUUAUGUCUUAAUUUUUAUAUUUUCCUUGUAUCUUGUGAAAUGUUUAAUGAUUUAAUAGUUUCGUAUGGAAAUUUUUUCUUAUUCAUUUUAUAUGCAAAGUACUUCAGAGCAGUGAAGAAAUGAGAAAAUAGAGUUUAGUGAAUGAAUAUUUGUAGUACUAAAUUUAUAUGGUGCUUGGCAGUUGUUAAGUGCUUUUUUUAUUUUAUUUUUUGAGAUUGUAUGUUGCUGUGUUUCCCAUGCUGGCCUAGAAUCUUUACUCCUUCUGUCUCAGCAUAGCAGGAUCUGAGAUUAUAGACAUAAACCUUAUAAUCAUGUCUGGCUUAACUACUUAAGGAUUUACAAAAUGUACAUUCCUGAUAUGCAUAAACAUACCCAGAACAGCAAAGAUUGCAGUUUAGAGGUUAACUUUUUAUCUUAUUCUGUCUUUGUUAGUUCUUCAAAUUAUUAAGUAUCAUUAUAUUUAAAUUUUACUUUAUGAUUUUCUGGAUAUAAGUUGUAUUAAAUAACUUCAUAGGUUUUCAAGAACUCUCUGUACCAUGGUUUCCAUGUGUAGUUUUGGUUUUGGUUUCUUUUUGCUUUUGAGAAAGAUCUUGAUAGGUAGGUUGAAGCUUGAAGCCACUGUGUGGCUCCUGUGUGCCUUGACCUUCCAUCUUUUCCUCCUUAUGCUUCCUGAGUGCUGUGGUUGCAGGUGUGUGCAUGGUGCUCAGCUGCAAGGCAUCUCAUUGCUAAGAACCCAGAAACUCUGAAUAAGUAUGAGAUUGUGUCUUUGCUGGUUUUUUUUUUUUUCUUUUCCUCAGUGUAUGUGUAUAUAACAUAUGUACUUUGUUUUGGGUUGUUUUCUUUUGAGACUGUUUCAGGGGACCCCAGUUGGCCUUGAACUCAUGAUUCUCCAGUCUCCACCUUCUGAGUGCUGAGAUUUCAUGUGUGUAUGUACCACCAUACCCUAUUUUGUGUUUUUGUUAAUUGUUAUAAGUAAUGUAUAUGGAAGAAAAAUUUAAAUGAUAUUCUAAGUUGGUUAAUGAAAAUAUAUAAAGUACUAUAGAUAUAUAAUAUGCUAAAAAUAGAAGUUACAGGCUGUGUUAGAAAUAGGAACUAAGAGGAAAAAAAGAAACAUUGUAGUUCAGUAUUCUGUCUCUAUUAUUGAUGAGCUAGAACAGGUAGACAGGUUUCUAGUACAUAAUAACCUAGGUACCCACUUGCUGAAAUACAUUACUACCAUAAGUCGUAGUAUUUGUAUGCCUGUUGGACCAAUGAACAUCAGAUACAAGGCAUUUUCAUAGACCAUGGUGACAUUUAGAUUACAAGACCUUUAUUUAGGAAAUGAUAGCUUUCUAUUACUGUAACUUUUAUGUUUUUUGAGAGUUUCAUACAUUGUAUUUUGGUCAUAUUUAUCCCUUAAUUCCUACCUCUGCCAAAUUUAGUGUGUAUUUUUAAUUUUAAUUAAUUAAUUAAUUAAUUAUUUUUUUUUUAACUUAUAUACUUUACAUCUGUUCACUGCCUAUAUUGCCUGUAUACUUGGGGUAUGAAGCCAGCCACACUUAAAGAAAACGACUAUUCCCCAGAAACCAUUAACUGUCAGCAGUGUUUUAGGGAUGGAGCUCAUGAGCCCUUCUUGCCUCCCAUUGUAUCAGCAAUUUUAAAGGUGCCAUGAUCAUCUAGCUCUAAGAAGAACAUAGUAGUGGGAAGCAGGAGGUGGCCAGAGCUGCUCAGUUCAUGAUUACC